rnacentral:rRNA from 1 species
CCCUGCCUUUUGUACACACCGCCCGUCGCUACUACCGAUUGAAUGGUUUGGUGAGCCUCACGGAUUGGCGGCAUGUCUAGGUUCGCCUAGUUUUGCUGCCGAAAAGUGAUGCAAACCUGACUAUUUAGAGGAAGUAAAAGUCGUAACAAG